rnacentral:rRNA from 1 species
CUCAGAAUGAACGUUGGCAGCAUGGAUUAGGCAUGCAAGUCGAGCGUGCGUCUUUGGCGCAAGCGGCGAAAGGGUGAGUAAAGCAUAGGUAAUUUACCCAUAUGUUCGGGAUAACAUCCUUAACGGGUUGCUAAUACCGGAUGUUGCGUAACAUCUGCAUGGAUGAUAUGUAAAAGGCGGAGAGAUCUGCCGCAUAUGGAGGAGCUUAUGUCCUAUUAGCCAGCUGGUGGGGUAACGGCCUACCAGGGCGAUGAUGGGUAGCCGGGUCGAGAGGCUGUCCGGCCACACUGGGACUGAGACACUGCCCAGACUCCUACGGGAGGCUGCAGUCGAGAAUCUUCGGCAAUGGACGAAAGUCUGACCGAGCGAUGCUGCGUGGAUGAUGAAGGUCUUCGGAUUGUAAAAUCCUGUUAGAAGCUAGGAAAUUUAUUGUAUGUAACUAUGCAGUAAUUGACAUAAACUUCAAAGAAAGCCACGGCUAAAUUCGUGCCAGCAGCCGCGGUAAUACGAAUGUGGCGAACGUUAUUCGGAAUUACUGGGCGUAAAGGGCGCGUAGGCGGUGAUACAAGUCUGAUGUGAAAUCCCCCGGCCUAACCGGGGAAUUGCGUUGGAAACUGUAUUGCUUGAGUGUGACAGGGGGAAGUGGAACUCCAGGUGGAGCGGUGAAAUGCGUAGAUAUCUGGAGGAACGCCGGCGGCGAAAGCGGCUUCCUGGGUCACAACUGACGCUGAGGCGCGAAAGCCAGGGUAGCGAACGGGAUUAGAUACCCCGGUAGUCCUGGCCGUAAACGAUGGAUACUUGAUAGUAGGGGAGU